UACGGGGGGGGCAAGCGUUGUCCGGAAUUACUGGGCGUAAAGGGCUCGUAGGUGGCCAACUAAGUCAGACGUGAAAUCCCUCGGCUUAACCGGGGAACUGCGUCUGAUACUGGAUGGCUUGAAUCCGGGAGAGGGAUGCAGAAUUCCAGGUGUAGCGGUGAAAUGCGUAGAUAUCUGGAGGAAUACCGGUGGCGAAGGCGGCAUCCUGGACCGGCAUUGACGCUGAGGAGCGAAAGCUAGGGGAGCAAACGGG
rnacentral:rRNA from 1 species